rnacentral:rRNA from 1 species
UACAGAGGGUGCGAGCGUUAAUCGGAAUUACUGGGCGUAAAGCGCACGUAGGUGGCUUUUUAAGUCGGAUGUGAAAUCCCUGGGCUUAACCUAGGAACUGCAUUCGAUACUGAAAAGCUAGAGUCUGGUAGAGGGUGGUGGAAUUCCAGGUGUAGCGGUGAAAUGCGUAGAUAUCUGGAGGAACAUCAGUGGCGAAGGCGGCCACCUGGACUGAGACUGACACUGAGGUGCGAAAGCGUGGGUAGCAAAC